GUUAAAAAAUAUGCAAAAUUGUAUUCAAAACAUGAAAGAAAAAGAUGCUAAAAAUUUGAGAAUGAAUUUCAAAUUUUCAUAAAUAAUCUAUUAUAUUUUAUAUAUACAAAUUAUUAAAAUCAUUAUUUGAGUUAAUCAAAUUUCUCAGGCUUAACGAGUAUCAACGUCGACCAGUUCCCAAGAAGUCGAGGCAGAAAAGUGUACGACUGUUGUCUCAUUCAUCGGCGACGAGGAAGAAGACCCUUGUCCCAUUCAUCGUAGUCCCGUCACGCUUGACGGGGACCUAGGUUAGCUGGAUUUUAAGCGCGGCAAGAGCGCAAGAAGGCACCAAUGGGGACCGUUCGAGUCCCGAUGGGAGAUGAAGAACACGUUUCUUCUUCCUCGUCAAAAGAGUAACAAGAAUGUCAUAAGCGGCCGGACGAAGAAGACACGGUGAAUUGGUUGUCUGUGUAACGAGACCCCGACCACAAUUACAGUACUAAUGGAACCCACUACUUUAUAUGACCUGGAGAAACGAUAUUAUGUUGUGAUCGAUUAUUCUUGAGGCAAUUCACAAAGUUAGGUUUUGUGAAAACAACCAAUAUGGUUAUUUGAAUUUUUAAAAUUAAAUUUCACGGACUUAUAGACUUUAUAAACUGAGGUGAUAAUUUUAAUUUUUUUAAUUA